UGGUUGCAGAGGGCGCCGUGAUGGGCGGGGCGGGGCGUCUGUGGUCUCUGAGAGCGUUGGAUCCUUGGCAGGAAUCGGUGGGUCCUGACCGAGGGUCGUGGUGGAGAGACGGAGUCUGGGCGCUGAGAUGAGCUAUACACUUUUUACAGAACACUGCUAUCUAUGGACUUUAACAUGGACUUCAUUUAAAGAAACCCACGGACCAUUAAUGGACAAAAACAUGAAUCAAUUUGUAUUGUGGCAUUCAAAUCCUAGCACUUUGGGAGAGCAGCAAAUACCAAGUUUUUGAAGAUCAUGGCUCACCAUCAUUAUGCAUUCAAGAGUUGAGUAACCACAUCAAGACUUAGAUCCUCUUCAAAAGCUUCAAGUGUCAUCUGUAUUAAAACUCUCCAUUGAACCCUCUCACAAAAGUAAAAGCUGAAAGGGACCCAACUCCAUUAAUACACUUUUAAAAUAUCCCUUCCUCUGACUUAGUUUCCUUGACCAUUAGGGUCUUUCAUGUUGCUUAUGUUCCUUUAGACAAGACCCAAUAAAAUGGUGCAUUCCAAAAAAUAUGUUCUAUGCCGAUAGGUUUUUCUUGGUAGGAAAGUAUAAACUUGGCAUGGAAAGUUUGGAAUUAGGUCCUUUAUUGUAGCCUACACAAAGUUGAAUCAAGAAUGUAAAAAUGAGAAUUAAAUGUUAAAAAUAUUAGAGGUUAGUAGAGCAUGUGUUUUGCAUGAGCAAGACCUGGGUUCAAUCCCCAGCAUCAAAAAAACAAAAAACAAAACAAAAAAAACUCUCAUAUAUUUAUGAGGUUAGAUUAUACUCUGUGUUUUAGAGAAAAGAGCCCCCAACAUGAAAUUCAAUAGUUUUUAUUCUAUCUCUGCCUCUACCUCUUACUAGUUAUAUGAUAAUUGGGAAAGUCAUUUAGCUGACAACUUCAUUAUCUGUAAAAUGAACCUGGUGUUUUCCCUGCCUACCUCACAGGGUUGUUGUGAGGUUCAAAUGAAAUUCUGUACAUUAAAAAAGACAAUAAAAUGUGCAUUACAGAUAUAGGGAUGUUUUAUAUAGUUGCAAAUCAUUUUCUCUGCACUUUGGCCUGGGAAGGUAGAUGAUUUAAACACAAGUUGAAAGCAUGUACCAUGUCCAAGCUGGACACAUGGAAACAAGGCUACAUUAAUAUUUUUUCCCCUGAGUACUUGGAAUACUAUCGUAGGCCAAUUCUAAGAAGGAGGAAGACUCUAAAUUUCCCUCAAAUUAUAAAUUGGCAUUGAUGAUGUUCUAAAGUAAUUAAGCAUUAUAUUAGUGAUUUACAAUAUCCUUUGUACUAAAUUGUGACCAGCAUUUUUUUAAAUGAAAGAACAGAGUAGAAUAUUUCACAAUGCCACCCACACAGGAAGAGUAAACAUUGUUUUAGUUAUAUGAAUGUUUGAAUGUGUGUAUAGUUGGUUAUUAAAUAAAAUAAUUUUUUUCUUGUGAGUUGCAAUUGGAGUUUUUCAGUUCUUAAAGUAUAAUUGUGGUACUAAUGCCUUUCUACAUGUUUGGAUUAUCGGGAGACUUGUUAUCUCUUUUCACAACAUACUGCUAUUUGUGACAAAGGAAUUAAUUGUCAAUAUUAAUUUGACAUUUGAUUUAACUGGAAUACUUUUUACUUCAUAGAAAAGAGAAAUCUCUUAGGCUUUGUUUUUAUUUAUUCUGACACCCAGACUGAUAGAGCAUUUAAAUGGUUGGUUCAACCUCUACUAAUGGGAAGAUUGUGUUAAAUUAAAAAAAAAAAAAAAAAAAAAAACUUAUCUUUCUGGUCUCAUGGCAAAUAAACUCCCACUUUUGUUUA